UACGUAGGGUGCGAGCGUUAAUCGGAAUUACUGGGCGUAAAGCGUGCGCAGGCGGUAAGUUAAGUCUGAUGUGAAAGCCCCGGGCUCAACCUGGGAAUGGCAUUGGAAACUGGCUUGCUAGAGUGUGGCAGAGGGGGGUGGAAUUCCGCGUGUAGCAGUGAAAUGCGUAGAGAUGUGGAGGAACACCAAUGGCGAAGGCAGCCUUCUGGGCCAACACUGACGCUCAUGCACGAAAGCGUGGGGAGCAAACAGG
rnacentral:rRNA from 1 species